AUGCACGCUGGCGGCGUGCCUAAUACAUGCAAGUCGAGCGAACGGACGAGAAGCUUGCUUCUCUGAUGUUAGCGGCGGACGGGUGAGUAACACGUGGAUAACCUACCUAUAAGACUGGGAUAACUUCGGGAAACCGGAGCUAAUACCGGAUAAUAUUUUGAACCGCAUGGUUCAAAAGUGAAAGACGGUCUUGCUGUCACUUAUAGAUGGAUCCGCGCUGCAUUAGCUAGUUGGUAAGGUAACCGCUUACCAAGGCAACGAUGCAUAGCCGACCUGAGAGGGUGAUCGGCCACACUGGAACUGAGACACGGUCCAGACUCCUACGGGAGGCAGCAGUAGGGAAUCUUCCGCAAUGGGCGAAAGCCUGACGGAGCAACGCCGCGUGAGUGAUGAAGGUCUUCGGAUCGUAAAACUCUGUUAUUAGGGAAGAACAUAUGUGUAAGUAACUGUGCACAUCUUGACGGUACCUAAUCAGAAAGCCACGGCUAACUACGUG
rnacentral:rRNA from 1 species